rnacentral:rRNA from 1 species
UACGUAGGUGGCAAGCGUUAUCCGGAAUUAUUGGGCGUAAAGGGCGUGUAGCCGGGCUGACAAGUCAGAUGUGAAAUCCGGGGGCUCAACCCCCGAACUGCAUUUGAAACUGUUGGUCUUGAGUAUCGGAGAGGCAGGCGGAAUUCCUAGUGUAGCGGUGAAAUGCGUAGAUAUUAGGAGGAACACCAGUGGCGAAGGCGGCCUGCUGGACGACAACUGACGGUGAGGCGCGAAAGCGUGGGGAGCAAACAGG